GUUGUUUACCAUCAAAUGCGAUUUAUAACAGGUAUACUUCAUGGAACUCGAGAGUUACUGAAUGUAGCUUCACCGAAAUUGCAAACAUCAUCUGGCAACGCCCGAAAUGCAGUGUGAUAGGUGGCAACACCGUGUGCUAAAAAUGAAGCUCCCUUCACUAGGCUAGUGACACUAGCUGAGUAUGCACUAAAAAACAGCUAUGAAAGGGUCUGUCAGCUCGAAUACAUAUUGUGCGCAUAUUCAAAUUUUGUUUUAAAUUGGAAGCCAUUCCAAUGCCCUGCGAACUCUAUAAAAGCGGGGGAUGUCUGUGGCAAAUGCCUCAAACGGUUUUCGACUGCGUUCUGAUUCGGUUCUCGCUCAAAGGAAAAAUAUUUGCAUACACCAAGGAUCUAUUAUGGAUUACGCUGAAAUUGGAUUACACACAACAGUUUCGGAUAUUAUUUUUAAUAAACAUCUCUAUGGAUCUAUUGGAUUAUUGGCUAGAUGAAAGAUAUAUGGAUAGAUAUUAAAUAAUAUAUUAUAAAUAAAAAGCACAGUUGAGGGAAAUGUUAGCUUAGAAGUUGAGUUGAAAGUGUUCCAGCAUAGAAUUCCUAGUCUAGACAAAUUUUAUUCUAAUAGUCUUCCCAAAGACUACAUAUUUAUAAUAUAUUAUUCAAUAAUAUUUCCAUUAAGAAAAAAUAUGAAAGGUUGAUAAAUUCCAGGAAUAAUUAAACCGCAAUUGUGUUUUUGUAAACAGAAAACUAUGAAUUAAAUGUAAGAAAAUGUUGAGAGUUGGCAUGAGGAAGGGCGCUUUUAGCAUGUUGUACGAUUGCUUGGCAUAUAUAAUUGAAAGGCUUCUAAUGCCAAUGUUCUCUACUGUGUUGAUAUUUAUCUGCACUUAUUAGCGGUAAUUGGUGCAGCAGCAAAAUUUAAUAGCCCACAGCAGUAGCAGCAGUGGCGGCAGCAGAAGUAGAAGCAGGAGACGAGGGCAGGAGGAGGAAACUCGUAAAAUGCAAAAGGUGCUGCUUCGGUUGUGGCUCGUUGGCGGGCCUAAGCAAAUAGUAGAAGUGGAAAGACAUGGGUAGAGCAGAAAUUUCUCAUCUACGAUUUGCGUGUCAAUUUUCAAAAGCGAAAUGCAACUGCAACUGCAACUGCGAAGUGCAACUGUUUAUGCAUUUUGUGCAGGCGAGUGCAACAAAUUUAAUUGUAGUGAUAGCUGCCUGCAAAUCCGACAUGCAUUGGCAGUAAAAACUGAAACUAAAAAAAAAAUGCAUUUAAAGUCUAAGUGGCAAUAAAAAACACAAGCAUAGCACCGAAAAUUCAGCCGAGCAAUGAUAUCUCCUAUAUAAUAUAAAUAUAUAUACAUAUAUAUAGAAAUACAUAUAUAUGUAUAUGUAUAUAGCGUGUUGCUAAUUAAGCUCAUUUGGCAGCGCGUUCUUUGUGCAACAGGGAAAUAAAGUCGUUAACAGCCAGCAGCAUAAAAGCCAUAAAAAUAAUAAUAACAACAAAUAUAAGUAAAGCAAAUGGAAUCCAAAAUGCAAUGCAAAACUUGAG